GGGAAGGUAGCUCAGUGGUAGAGUGCUUGCCUUGCAUGCAUAAGGCCCUGGGUUCGAUUCCUCAGCACUACUU
rnacentral:tRNA from 1 species